CAGUCGCCGCGGUAAUACAGAGUGUGCGAGCGUUAAUCGGAUUUACUGGGCGUAAAGCGUGCGUAGGCGGCUUCUUAAGUCGGAUGUGAAAUCCCUGAGCUUAACUUAGGAAUUGCAUUCGAUACUGGGAAGCUAGAGUAUGGGAGAGGAUGGUAGAAUUCCAGGUGUAGCGGUGAAAUGCGUAGAGAUCUGGAGGAAUACCGAUGGCGAAGGCAGCCAUCUGGCCUAAUACUGACGCUGAGGUACGAAAGCAUGUGGAGCAAACAGGAUUAGAUACCCCAGUAGUCCCUGUCUCUUAUAC
rnacentral:rRNA from 1 species